GAUGAACGCUGACAGAAUGCUUAACACAUCAGCAAUUGAUUGGUGGCGGACGGGUGAGUAACGCGUAAAGAACUUGCCUCACAGCUAGGGACAACAUUUAGAAAUGAAUGCUAAUACCUGAUACUGUGAGAGAGCUUUGCGUCCCAUUAGCUAGUUGGAGAGGUAACAGCUCACGAAGGCGAUGAUGGGUAGCCGGCCUGAGAGGGUGAACGGCUACAAGGUGAAUGAGACACGGCCCAUACGCCUACGGGGGGCAGGAGUGGGGAGUAUUGGGCAAUGGACAGAAGUCUGAUCCAGCAGUUCUGUGUGCACGAUGAAGUUUUCGGAAUGUAAAGUGCUUUCAGUUGGGGAGCAGUACCAACCGAAGAAGUGACGGCUAAAUACGUGCCAGCAGCCGCGGUAAUAC
rnacentral:rRNA from 1 species